rnacentral:misc_RNA from 1 species
GAAAUGCGAUAAGUAAUGUGAAUUGCAGAAUUCAGUGAAUCAUCGAAUCUUUGAACGCACAUUGCGCCCGCCAGCAUUCUGGCGGGCAUGCCUGUUCGAGCGUCAUUUCAACCCUCAGAACCCCUUGCGGGAUCUGGCGUUGGGGAUUGGCAUCCAGCCAGCCCCGAAAUCUAGUGGCGGUCCCUCCGCGACCUCCCCUGUGCAGUAGCGAUACCUCGCAGCGGGACAGCGGUCUGACCACGCCGUAAAACCCCCAACUUCUCAAGGUUGACCUCGAAUCAGGUAGGAAUACCCGCUGAACGUAAGC